UCAACUUAUAGCUAUCGCAUCACUUAUCUAUUGUUUCUUCCGCGGUGUUAACUGAUUUGGUUAAUGAAUCGUUCACAUUAACUACGAAGAUCGUUACUGAAACAAAAGCUAGUCGCGAACGCGUUAAACAAUGUGUUCUUCCGUAUUCUUACUUGUUUUAACCGAUAAUUGAAAAAAUGAAAGCAGUGUUUGUUCCGGUUACCUCGUCUCGAUCGUCGACCUGCACUCUUUUGUUCUCGAGGAAGUUUUGGAGACCAGCGAGGUUAUCAUCUGUGAUAUAGCUGGCGAGAGAUCGGUAGCAGAGCGAUACCAUCGAGUCAGUCCGGUGCAAGGUCUGCGGAAGAAAAGUGGAAAAUAUGCCGAUUGAAAAAUUGAAGUUGCGGACCGAUUCCUCGGAGGAGCGCGGCGUCCCUCCUCCGACCGAAAGCUGCGAAAGCAAUUUAAUCGCUGAGCUAAUAGACAGCGUAGCCUACGGAACCGUAACUCACGCGUGCCUACGUCCUUGUGAUUAUCUUUGAGCAACGCUGCGCGAAUACGUGAUAACUGCGCGUUCCUUUUGUCGCGACUCCGCGAAUCGACGACGAGUUCUCUCGUCGUUGCGAUUAUUCGGCAAUCAUCAUUCGAACGGUGACGAUUAUUGCUGUAUUCCGAUUUUUGUCCAUUUCUCGCAACGGUUGUCGACAGUUAUAGUGUCUCACGCCUUUAUUGGGUUAUCCCUUAAACGAUAUGUUCCCGCGUGCUUCCUUUGUUUUAAGGAAUUAAGACAGGAAUUAAAGAAUACGAGCAUUGCGUUGUUCACGAAAUUUUAUCUAAUGAUUCUGGAUUUCUUAUUGGAAUUAAUGGAAUUAGCGAAUUAAUGGUUCCUGGGGUAUAGUAGAAGAGAUCAGCAAUGGGCGAUUUUGACCUAUCCGGUGGUUCUAGUGCUAGAUCCAUGAUUAAAAGUAAAGGUCAGAGUGUACUCGCGGCGUGGCUCAGUUUUAAUGGAAUCGGUGCGUCGAAGAACCAACCUCCAGGACGUAAAGGCUCGAGGGAAAUUUCUGCAUUUCCGCGUAGAAAUGGACGUUCGGGUUUAAUGGAGCAGGACACGAUGUAGGUCGGCGA